rnacentral:rRNA from 1 species
AUACGUAGGGAGCGAGCGUUGUCCGGAAUUACUGGGCGUAAAGGGUGCGUAGGCGGCAUGGCAAGUCAGAUGUGAAAUCCCCGGGCUUAACCCGGGAGCUGCAUUUGAAACUGUCGUGCUUGAGUGCAGGAGAGGAAAGCGGAAUUCCUAGUGUAGCGGUGAAAUGCGUAGAUAUUAGGAGGAACACCAGUGGCGAAGGCGGCUUUCUGGACUGCAACUGACGCUGAGGCACGAAAGCGUGGGGAGCAAACAGGAUUAGAUACCCUGGUAGUCCACGCUGUAAACGAUGGAUACUAGGUGUGGGGGAGCUACAACCUCCGUGCCGCAGCAAACGCAAUAAGUAUCCCGCCUGGGGAGUACGGUCGCAAGGCUGAA